UACGUAGGCAGCAAGCGUUGUUCGGAAUUACUGGGCGUAAAGAGUGUGUAGGCGGUGCUCCAAGUCUGGUGUGAAAUCUCCCGGCUUAACUGGGAGGGUGCAUUAGAAACUGGAAUGCUAGAGGAUGGGAGAGGUAAGCGGAAUUUCUGGUGUAGCGGUGAAAUGCGUAGAUAUCAGGAGGAACACCUGUGGUGUAGACAGCUUACUGGACCAUUUCUGACGCUGAGACACGAAAGCGUGGGUAGCAAACAGG
rnacentral:rRNA from 1 species